rfam:Rattus norvegicus chromosome 11, whole genome shotgun sequence.
GGAGAGAUGGCUCAGCGGUUAAGAGCACUGGCUGCUCUUCUAGAGGUCCUGAGUUCAGUUCCCAGUAUCUACA